rnacentral:tRNA from 1 species
GUCACGAUCAUAAAGGUUGAAUCCAGAUAAUGCAUCUGGGAAGCGCCGGUUCGAAUCCGGCUCGUGACU